CCAGACUCCUACGGGAGGCAGCAGUGGGGAAUAUUGCACAAUGGGGGAAACCCUGAUGCAGCGACGCCGCGUGAGCGAUGAAGUAUUUCGGUAUGUAAAGCUCUAUCAGCAGGGAAGAAAAUGACGGUACCUGACUAAGAAGCCCCGGCUAACUACGUGCCAGCAGCCGCGGUAAUACGUAGGGGGCAAGCGUUAUCCGGAUUUACUGGGUGUAAAGGGGGCGUAGACGGUCCUGCAAGCCAGAAGUGAAAGCCCGGGGCUCAACCCCGGGACUGCAUUUGGAACUGUAAGGCUAGAGCGUCGGAGAGGCAGGCGGAAUUCCUGGUGUAGCGGUGAGAUGCGUAGAUAUUAGGAGGAACACCAGUGGCGAAGGCGGCCUGCUGGGCGAUGACUGACGUUGAGGCUCGAAAGCGUGGGGAGCAAACAGGAUUAGAUACCCGAGUAUU
rnacentral:rRNA from 1 species